UUUUCAGAAUAAAUUUUCUCUCAAUGUGUGGGCCGCCGGUAUUGUCGACGACAUAUUAGGGCCACAUUUUUUCCCACAAAGGCUAAAUGGCGUAAAAUGUGGCUGCUACAAGACGGCGCUCCACCCCAUUUCAAUGGAGCAGUAAGAGAACAUUAUAUCAACAUUUCCCUGAAAGAUGGAUUGGACGCGGUGGGUUUGUGCAAAGACCUCCCAGAUCGCCAGAUCUAAACGCUAUGGGUUUUUUCUUUUGGGUUUACCUAAAAUCUCUUGUUUACAAGGUUCCUGUAAAUAACCGCCAAGAGCUGAGACAACAGAUUAUUGACAAUUGUGAAAUAAUUGAAAUAAUUAAACAGAAGGAAGGCAUAUUCCCUAGGAUAUGUUGGAACUUCCAAAGAAGAAUUAAUUUAUGUAUUGAAAUGGAAGGGCAACAUUUCGAAAAUUUUUUAGAAGUAUUACUUUAAAAUUAAUAUAGGUGUGUUAUCGUAAA